ACUGAUGCCAGAGUGUAUGUUGCUGUCAAGUUGCAUGUGUGUUCAUUGCUGGCAAAGUGGAGAGAGGCUAUAUCUACACUCAGCAUUCUGACAUCUGAACAUGUGAAUUAUUUGUAGCCUAACAGU